GUCGGGUAUGGUGAUAUGGCACCGAAGACGUACAUCGGUAUGUUUGUCGGUGCGCUCUGUGCGUUGGCCGGUGUGUUGACGAUCGCUCUACCCGUACCCGUCAUCGUGAGCAAC
rfam:Anopheles christyi strain ACHKN1017 cont1.4352, whole genome shotgun sequence.